rnacentral:rRNA from 1 species
UACGAAGGGGGGCUAGCGUUGUUCGGAAUUACUGGGCGUAAAGGGCUCGUAGGCGGCCAACUAAGUCAGACGUGAAAUCCCUCGGCUUAACCGGGGAACUGCGUCUGAUACUGGAUGGCUCGAGUUUGGGAGAGGGAUGCGGAAUUCCAGGUGUAGCGGUGAAAUGCGUAGAUAUCUGGAGGAACACCGGUGGCGAAGGCGGCAUCCUGGACCAAUACUGACGCUGAAUAGCGAAAGCCAGGGGAGCAAACGGG